rnacentral:misc_RNA from 1 species
GCACUCAUUUCUUUCAUCUUCUUGUAGCGGUACACAAUUCCAAGAAUAUUCAGCAGCUGUCGCUUGUAUUCAUGAAUACGCUUCACCUGGAUAUCAAACAUUGCAUCGGGGCUGACAGAAUACCCUGUUUUUUCUUUGAGGAAUGACACAACCUUCAUCUUAUUGCUUUUCUUCGCUGCCCUCCAUUGGGUUUGAAGAUCCUCAUUAUCUGCAAACUUUCUUAGUUCAGCCAGCUUUUCAGUCUUUAAAACCCAUUCUUCAGAUCCAGUCCAGUCAGUAAUAAUUUUACUCAAAUCCGGAUUGCAGAAACGGAUCCAUCUUCUUGGAGUAACCCCAUUGGUUUUAUUUUGAAACUUAUUAGGCCACAACUCAUAAAAUGCAUUAAACACUUCAUCCUUCACUAUUUCACUAUGUAUCUCAGCAACUCCAUUUACUGCAUGACCACCUACAACACAGAGAUUAGCCAUACGGACCAGCUUUGGUGGUUUUGGUGGCGGUUCUGCCACCACCUUUUCCUUCUUCUGAGUGCCUUUGCCAUUGGGUUCACCUUUGCUUUCUGGCUCAUCUUCACUAUCAAUUUCAUCUUUUUCACUAAUCAGCUUGCUUUCAUCAUCAGAUUUUUCAGUUUCUUCACUCAUAGCUGCAACAGAGCUUUCCUUGGGUUUAACAAUUAAAUCCGCAAAGGUGGAAGGCAAAUCUACAUUUUCUAAUAUUCUCAUUUCCUUCAGUUUUUUCUCCAAAAGGUCGGGAUCUUCUCUUCCAUACUCAGAAACAAUGGUUUUUAUCAGCUCUUCAUCAAUCAUUUCUAUGAUCUCAACAUGUCGUGGUAACAGCUUCUCCAUAAGCUCUAAACUCCAUUUCUCCAAUGCUUCAGGUAGAACAGUAUGGUUCGUAUAUGCCACAGUUCUCUUUACAUGGUAUAAUGAGAUAGGUACUGCAACAUCUAAAGAAAAUUGCAAAAUCAAGAGGUUAAGAGGAGAGCGAAGACCAACAAACAAAGGACAACUGCAAACAGCCAAUGCUAGAUGGGGAACUAAUAAAUGAUAAAUAUUCACUUCCCAUGUUUCCAUUUUCUUUGGAUCUCAUGAAACGCUGAAUUACAAUCAAAGCCAAAGGAAACUGCUGAGGUGAGAUGUUCUUUGGGUAAUAUUCCAGGCCUCCUUCCAGCUUAAGCCUUUCAAGUCUAUCAAAUUUCUCAUCAGCUCUGGAAUGCAGAGAGUGGGAUGAGUGUCAUUCAUCUGCACUGCAACUUUCUCAGGAAAUUCUUCCCACUUUAUGUUUGAUCCAGAUCUUCUCUCGAACCGUGCAAUGAUAUCUUGGAGAGAAGCUGAACAUAAGGUAUAUUGUUGUUUCAACCGUAGGAUCUUGCCCUCCGCUGAAUCAUCCCCAGGAUAGAGAAUAUAGCAAAUCUUUUCAGCAUUUGCAAGGGCCUCAUAUGCUUUAGUGUGCUCCCCAGCAUUGAAAGCAUACAAGUCCAAAUCUUCGGCUGGAGCUUUAGUUGACCAAAGUCGAAGGUUAAUAGUGCUUUUAGUUUUAUAUCCUGGUAUUGGGACAUCAUAUGCCACAGCCUUUAUAUCUUCUCCUCCGAUCCAGUGUUUUUUCCCAUCUGAUCCACUAACAACCUUGCCGUAAAAUUUUACAGGAUAUGCAACAUCAUUUCUCACAAUUUCCCAGGGAUUACCCAUCUCAAGCCAAUCUUCAGCAACCUCCUCUUGACCAUCUUUUGUAAUUCGCUGUUUAAAUAAGCCAUACCUGUAUCUUAAUCCAUAACCCCAUGCAGGAUAAUUUAAUGUUGCCAAAGAGUCCAAAAAGCAGGAGGCGAGUCGCCCAAGACCUCCAUUUCCAAGUGCAGCAUCAGGCUCAUGACGAGCCACAUUCUCCAAAUUGUGUCCUAGCUUGGUCAAAGCCUCUGCAUAUGCACCAGUCAGCUCUAAAUUACCAAUUGCAUUCAACAGUGCUCUACCCUGUAGAAAUUCCAUUGACAAAUAAUACGCCUGUUUUACAUUCAAUCUCUCAUAGUGCUCAUACGUUUCAUUCCAAUUUAUGAUGAGAGCAUCACGAACACUUUGCGCAGUUGCAAAGAAGGCCUUUGGAAGCUCAAAUUUCUCUGGGGAAAAUGAUGGUGUGAAUUCUGCAUGGUAUUUGAUACUUGAGGCGAUAGAUGAGGCAUCUGAAGUGAAAGGACUCCGACUACUUGGAUUUUCUUCGUCAGAGAUCGGAUCUUUGAAUUUCGUCUUUGGCUCGCUAGACACAUUUUUAGCCGAAAACGACCUCGUAAGAGACCGCGACCUCAAGGUCCGAAUCAAGAACAGAUUCGAUCUCCACUUGCCACCGCUUCUAGAACCGAAAUCGACGAAUCUCGAAACAGGACUACAAUGCGAAGUCGCAGAGAAAUGUGAAGUCGCCAUUCUCUCUCUCUCUCUCCCUCGGUCUCGCUCUUUCAGUGAUGAUGAGUGACGAGUGUUAAGCGAUCAGAGUGUAUAUAGCGAGUGGUGGAAGAAGAAAGUACAAAUUCAAA